rnacentral:tRNA from 1 species
CGGAUCGUUCAUAGUUGGUCGAAAAAACACUGAGCUGAUAUUUUUGGGGAGGCCAAAAGCUCCUUGCAUGGGGUGCAAGGGGUCGAGUGUUCGAAUCACUCCGUCCCGACCA